UACGUAGGGGGCAAGCGUUGUCCGGAUUUAUUGGGCGUAAAGCGCGUGUAGGCGGCCAGGUAGGUCCGUUGUGAAAACCCGAGGCUUAACCUCGGGACGCCGACGGAAACCAUCUGGCUAGGGUCCGGAAGAGGAGAGUGGAAUUCCCGGUGUAGCGGUGAAAUGCGCAGAUAUCGGGAAGAACACCCGUGGCGAAGGCGACUCUCUGGGACGGUACCGACGCUGAGACGCGAAAGCGUGGGGAGCGAACAGG
rnacentral:rRNA from 1 species